rnacentral:rRNA from 1 species
GACGGAGGAUGCAAGCGUUAUCCGGAAUGAUUGGGCGUAAAGCGUCCGCAGGUGGCAGUUCAAGUCUGCUGUCAAAGACCGGGGCUUAACUUCGGAAAGGCAGUGGAAACUGAACAGCUAGAGUAUGGUAGGGGCAGAGGGAAUUCCUGGUGUAGCGGUGAAAUGCGUAGAUAUCAGGAAGAACAUCGGUGGCGAAGGCGCUCUGCUGGACCAUAACUGACACUCAGGGACGAAAGCUAGGGGAGCAAAUGGG